GGAAGGAUCAUUAACACAUUGUCCAUUUGAUGGUGUGGGGAAUAAUAGUAUUCAGGGGUAGCAAUAUCUUUUGAAAUACGACCCACAUCAUUCAAACCUCUUUGUCGAAUGAGUUGACAAGUCAUCAACCAUUAUUAUUAAACGUAAUGAUUGAGUGUAUUUGAAUCAAUCUCUCAUGAUCAAAAAGUCGCAAGGCUUUUUGGACUUAUGUUGUUAUUAUACCAACAUAUUAUAAAAAUAUAAACCAAGACAACUUGUAACAGUGGAUACCUUGGUUCCCAGGUCGAUGAAGAGCGCAGCGAACUGCGAUAAGUCAUGUGAAUUGCAGAAUUCCGUGAAUCAUCGAACUCUUGAACGCAAAUUGCACUUGGGUGUUGAAUCCAAGUGUGCCUGCUCGAGUGUCGGCAAUAAAUCCUCUACUUCUGAAGUAGACUGUGAGAGUUCAGAUUUUUGUUUGUUUGAUCUCUUUAAAUGAAUGGAAGAAUGUUCAAGGUGUGUUAUCCAUACGGAUAGUUGAAACAUCAUAUAUGAACGUGUAAAUAAUAUAUCUUUUGCACUGUUUCAUAGUUUCGAUUUUCAUUCGCUAUUGGAUCAGAGCCCCAGAUCAUUUUGACUCGUAUUAGUGAGCGCAACCCGCUUUACCGAUACAAAUUCAAAUAUAAAACUCGACCUCGAAUUAGGCAAGAUCACCCGGUGGACUUAAGCAUAUUAUUAACCGGAGGAGAAGAAACUAACAAGGAUGCCCUUAGUAACGGCGAGUGAAGCGGGCAGAGCUCAAAUUUAAAAUCUGGGAGUCUUAUGGCUCUUCGAAUUGUAGUUUUUGGAUCGUUAGUCACGGUGUUAUUACGGAUCGGGAGUAAGUUCUUUGGAACGAGGCGUCAGAGAGGGUGAGAACCCCGUAUGCGUCCCCCGUAGUGAUACAAUACGUGUCUGGCUUUUCACGAGUCGGGUUGUUUGGGAUUGCAGCCCUAAAUAGGUGGUAGAUCUCAUCUAAAGCUAAAUAUUCCUGGGAGACCGAUAGCGAAGAAGUAGUGUGAACGAAAGGUGAAAAGAACUUUGAAAAGAAGGUGAAAAGUACUUGAAGCUGUUCCAAGGGAACCGUAUGACAGCAGUGAUAGUGCGGCGGCAACUCAGCGUGCGAUUGGCCUCCCGUGUCGGAUGCCUGGAGGUGUAUGCCCCAGAGUACUGAGCGGCGGGGUCGUGGCGCGUGUACUUUGUCGUCGUACGAGUCAACAUCAGUCUGCUUUUCGUGGCGGAGAAAGGGUCGGAGAAGGUAGGUUGGCCUCUCGGGGUUGGCUGUUAUAGCUCCGGCUUGCAUACGUCGCGGUGGACUGAGGAAAGAAAACGCAUGCCUCGGCGAGGUAGCUGGCGGACCCAGGGUUGUGAGUGUGCACGUCUGCUUGCAGGGUGUGUGCUCGAUGGCUCUGGCGAAAGUUGGCCCAUCCAUGUGCGUUAGGGAUGUUGACGAAAUGCUUUCAUAUGACCCGUCUUGAAACACGGACCAAGGAGUCUAACAUGUAUGCGAGUAUUUGGGUGGUGAAACCCGAGUGCGCAACGAAAGUGAGUGCGAUGCGAGUCCUGUCACAGGGAUGCAGCAUCGGCCGACUGCUUUUAGGAGCGGAUCGCGCCAGAGCACACAUGAUGGGACCCGAAAGAUGGUGAACUUUGCGUGCGCAGGGUGAAGCCAGAGGAAACUCUGGUGGAGGCUCGUAGAGAUACUGACGUGCAAAUCGUUCUUCUGACGUGCGUAAAGGGGCGAAAGACUAAUCGAACCAUCUAGUAGCUGGUUUACAC
rnacentral:misc_RNA from 1 species